GAGGACGCCACGGCUCAGCGCCCCGCCAGCCUCAUGAUCGAGCGCUGCCCUGGGGGCAGGGCUGACCCAGAGCCAGCGGCUCGUGAGUGACAGCCCCCCGACCACGGCCCUUCUCGGGGAGCGGGCCAGCCGCCGGGGUCCCAGCCUGCGGGGUCCGCCCGCGCUUCUGUCCUCCCGGGCGUGCGUGUCCGGGUCUCGGCCGGUUCCCCGUCGGCGACGCCACGAGUCUGCGGGCCCGCGGGGGGGAGCCGCGCACCGGCCCCCGGCCAACCCCAGUUCGACGACGUGUUGGGCGUCUCACUCCGGGUGGGUUCCGCGGCGGGGUGUAUUUAUGGAGCAUUUAAGAAAUAUCUCCGUCGGGACGGCCGGAAGGAAAGAGGCCAGAGGCGCGGAGGCCGGCUAGAGCCGGGAACGAACGUCCGACCGGGAGGACCCGUCCCUGCUCCUGACCAUCACCGUCAUUGGGGUCACUGUGCUCGUGAUGGUCCUGAAGAGCAUGAACUCCAGGAGGAGAGAGCCAAUCACCUUACAGGACCCUGAAGCCAAGUACCCGCUGCCCUUGAUUGAGAAAGAGAAAAUCAGCCACAACACCCGGAGGUUCCGCUUUGGACUGCCUUCGCCGGACCAUGUCUUAGGGCUUCCUGUAGGUAACUAUGUCCAGCUCUUGGCGAAAAUUGGCAAUGAAUUGGUGGUCAGGGCUUACACCCCUGUCUCCAGUGAUGAUGACAGAGGCUUUGUGGACCUAAUUAUAAAGAUCUACUUCAAAAAUGUACACCCCCAAUAUCCUGAAGGUGGGAAGAUGACUCCGUAUUUGGAGAACAUGAAAAUCGGGGAGACCAUCUUUUUUCGAGGGCCAAAGGGACGCUUGUUUUACCAUGGGCCAGGGAAUCUUGGAAUCAGACCAGACCAGACGAGUGAGCCUAAAAAAAAACUGGCCGAUCACCUGGGAAUGAUUGCUGGGGGCACAGGCAUCACACCCAUGUUGCAGCUCAUUCGCCACAUCACCAAGGACCCCAGUGACAUGACCAGGAUGUCCCUCAUCUUUGCCAACCAGACAGAGGAGGAUAUCUUGGUCAGAAAAGAGCUUGAAGAAAUUGCCAGGACUCACCCAGACCAGUUCGACCUGUGGUACACCCUGGACAGGCCUCCCAUUGGCUGGAAGUACAGCUCAGGCUUCGUUACUGCCGACAUGAUCAAGGAGCACCUUCCUCCUCCAGGGAAGUCCACGCUCAUCCUGGUGUGUGGCCCGCCACCGCUGAUCCAGACGGCGGCUCACCCUAACCUGGAGAAGCUGGGUUAUACCCAGGACAUGAUUUUCACCUACUAACACCUCCAUGUGCUCAGCAAAUCUGCAUGUCCCUUUUCAUCUGUUUCAGACAGGUUUUAUGAACUAACAGCUCUUCCCCUCGAGUGUGAGAGCCUCCAGGCUGUCACCAGGAAUAGCACGAGCCAUCGAGUCUGUGUGCUGAUAUGACACUGCCCUCCCACAAAGUGGUCUGCAGUCCAUGUAUUAAGAGUACAAAAGGUAUGAAGCCUGCGGUGAAGAGCGCGGCAUGGUUGAAGACACACAUGGACCCUGGGGCCACCCCUGGACACCUGUCCCACAGCUCUGCCUCAUGCCUGUCAGCAGCCUGUCUGAGACACCCUGCCAGCCCGGACUGGGCUUGCAGAGGGGGCUGUGUGCCCGCUCCCCACAGAAGCAAAGGCUCCGGGGCCCCCACACGUGCCUCCCUACGCUCUCAGCCACGAAGAAAGUCAUCUCCAGUCAUCAGAGUUGGGGGCAGGCAGGCGAGAGUCAUUCAGCAGCUGGUCCUGGCUCAGCAUUGUCUGAAAAGGACACAGCCGAAGGGUCAGUUUAAUAGAGUUUUGGUCCAGGCUGCCCUGCGGCAGCUGCACCGGAACUAGAGGGCACUGGCUGAGGGCUGCAUCUGACACAGGUGCACUAUAAGUUUAUAGUGUCCCAAGAAACCCUGAGUAUUGGGUCAGAAUAAACAACACUAUUAAGAUAAAAAUAAAUUGUUCAUCUUAGAAAUAAAUUUUCUAUUUUCAGGCCACCAAAGGCCUAGAUCAUAAGGGCAAGUGUGGGCAGAUUCCUUUCAUGGGUGGGCCAAUAAAUAAAAACGUUGAGUAAAAGUGA